GCCACUUGGUUGUCAUGGAAACAGGCCGGAAUAGAACAGAUGGUCUCCACUAGCCAAAUUCCAAUUAAACAGGGCAGAGAUGGAUAGGGAAGGGAGUGUGAUGUGACGAGGCCGCAGAGAGCUCAGCCCCCAGGAUGGACGGGAAACCCUGGGUCACCGUUCUUGGAGGGGGACAUCAGUGCCUGGCACAUAGUAGAUGCCCAAAGAACAUCUGCUGACUGACCUCACCUAAAGCAUUUGGGCAGUUACCCACAGGUGCUCCAUGACACCUUCUGGCCAGCAGAAAGGACCUGCAGCCAAGUGCUCUGGUGGCUGCUACUGAACACCAACCGCUACUCUCAGCCUUGGGGGUGACAGGAAAGAAUGGGACCGCAGUGAUUGAAACUUAUUUGGGGCAGGAAGCUUGGCCUGGAUGACCUGAGGGGCAGUCAUGUCCUCUGGCCCACCCAGUCUUCACUUCUCACCUCCUCACCCCCCGCCCUCUGGAGGGCAGCUCCUAUCUCUCCUGGAAGGGAGCACAGGAGGCACCUGCCCAGGUGAUCAUCUGGGUUGGGGGGGCGGAUCUCCAGUAGCCCAGGGGCCUGAGACUAAGACAUACUCUGCUUGCAUUGACCACCCUGGAGAAGUCACAGGAGCCCAGCAGAGGGGCUCCCCACAGCGUUCUGGGGCACACACAGCCAGGAGGGUUCCUGGGCCUGGCUUCCCCAGCCCCAGGGAACGGACCCUCCUUCUCCAGACUGGGAGUCCCUCCCAGUGGUAGCUCACAACAGUCCAGCGGUGCGAAGGCUUUCCCUGGAUCAAGCAAAUUAUUGCUUGUGCUAAGCACACCACAUAUGUUAUUCGCCCCUUCCAGCCUCUUAUCAUCUCAUCCCAUUGUACAGCUAGGGGAACUUGUUUAGAGAAGACACAGAUACACCCGCUGACACAGGCUGAAGGUAAUUUUAUACAGUGGCUUUAAUAAUUCUGUGGAUGAAAUAAUGUUUUGACUGCCUUUGGAUUGCGACCCUUCAGGAGGAUAAGUGUGGAAUUUUCCACUUGUGGCGUCAUGUCGGCCUCCAAAAGCUUCGGAUUUUGGAUUAGGGAUGUUCAACCUGCGCCAAGACUCUCUGAAGAUUCAGCACUAAUAACUCCCCAAAUGCAUCAGGCAUGGACAACUACAACACCAGGUUAUCGCUGCACCACUGAAGGGACAGGAAUGUGAAUAAGAAGGUGCUAUGCAGGGGUGGGAAGAGAUUCUGGAAGCAAAGUCUUGUGAGGACUCCAGGCUUAGGAAAUGGUCUUCCUCCAUCACCUGUCUGCCACCCGCCAGGAAGAGAGGCAGCUCAGCCACAUGGUAUAAACACGGACAUGGGGCCUGACUUCUGGAAUCAGAAUCCUGGCUCUGCCACUUACUAGCUGCGUGACCCUGGGCAAGUUACCUAAGCUCUAUCUGGGCCUCAUUUUUCCAUAUAUAAAACUGGGGAGAACAGAAGUACCUUCCAUAUGAGUUGUUAUGAAGAUUAACUAAGUGAUUACAUGUAAGAUGUUUACAACAGUGCCUGGCAUCCAGGGAUUCUCCAUACAAGUGUGUUAUUAUUAUCCUCAUCAAUGUUUCAAACAAGCAACUGUCUAUCCACCCAGCAUGGCCUACUGGUCCCCUAUGCCAGGCCCUGGAGAAACCAAGCCUCAUCAGCAAUGGAGCUCUCAGUCUUGUGAUGAAGAUAAAUCCCAGGCCCAAGUGACUGGAUAGCAGGAUGGAGAGUAAUUGUUGGCAGGGGGUGGCAUGGAUGAGGCGCUGGGGGAUUUGAGAUGAGAGAAGUUAUCCUUAGCUUGCGGGGGGAGCGGGUCAUGAAAGCUUCACAAUAGAAGUGGCUCUUGACUUCAGUAUUCAGAUUUCAUAUUUAUGGGAAAUAAGCGGGAAUGGGGGAACAGCAUGUGCAAAGGCACGGAGGCAGGAAAGCGCUGGGCAUGGAAAGCAUGGUGUGCGGGGGAGGGCAGUGGGGGACCAGUUAGGGUGGUGCUGUGCCCCCUCAGAUGUGCUUUAGGUGGAUUCACCCAAGGAGCAGUGUGGGCAGACUGGAGCAGCAGACUGAGGAUGUGCCACCAUCCUCCCCUGCAGUGGGACCCACAUGACGUGGUGGCAGAGCUGGCUAGGACCAGAGGCACCUCCUCCACUGCCCUUGUCCUAGCACCUGACAGCAUUUGUCCACAAGACGCGGGGACUGAGGGAGAAGGUGCAUGGGGCACAGAGAACAGUCACAGCAGCUGCCUCCCCAGUCCUGCCCGGGGCAUGUACCCCAGACCAGCUGCUGGCAGGCCCUCACAGGGGCACUCCACGAGCCCACGCAAUCCUUCAGUCCCCCUUCCUCCACAGCAGGGCAGACUCACAUCUGCCCCAGCAGAUUGGCGCUC
rnacentral:lncRNA from 1 species